UUUUUUUUUUUUUUUUCAGCCAGACUGCAGUGGGUGAGACUGGGUGCUGGGUGCUAGGAAAUGUCAAAAGCUAAGAAACAGCCAGAUGAGGUAGGAAGCUGAAGAAUAGUUAAGAGGUUACCAUAAUAAUUCAGAUAAGAACUGACAGAAGAUAAUGGAAGCUUAGACGCAAGUGAAAGCAAUGGAUAUGGAGAGAAAUGUACUGAGGAUGUAUGUCUGAGGUAGAGUAUAGCGAGCAGGGGAAAUGGAGAGAAAAGGCCCACUCCGGGGUUCCUGUCCUGAAUAUCUAUCUGAGUGAAAGGAGGUACCACAUACUGAGGUGAGGAAGAAUGAAGAAAAAACAGUUUUCACAGGGAGAAAACCAAGACUCCUGCUUUGGCCAUUUUAAGUGUGAAAUGCCUCUGUUUGUUUUGGCUGAAAUUCCCAGGCCAGGGAUAGAACCCAUGCCACGGCUGUAACCAGAGCCCCAGGAGUGACAAUGCUAGAUCCUUAACCCACUGAGCCAUGAGGGAGCUCCUGAAAUGCCUAUUUGUUAUUCAAGGAGAGAAGGGUUAAGCUGACAUCUAGAUAUCUAAAUUUAUAGCUCAGUGAAAAGGUCAGAGCUGGCAAAAUAAGUUUGCAUAUAGAUGGUAUCUAAACCCAGGGAUUCGAUGAUACAGAGUAGAAAAAAAAAGAAAAAAGCUGAAGUCAAGCCCCAGACCUGAGCCUUGGAGCAUUCCAACAUUUAAGGGUAAAACGGAGGAGCUGCAGCCCAUGGAUGAAGCAAGGAGCAAGAGACUGGGAGAGCAUGCUGUCAGGGAAGCCACGGAUAGACAGCGUAUGCAUGAAGAGGAUGCAGUGGUCAACUGAGUAAAUGCUUCAGUCUAACCCAGAGGACUGACUAUUGCCUUGGCAAAGCGGAGGUGUUUGGUAAUCCUGACAAGAGCAGUUUCAGGGGAGUGUGUAAUGAAAACCUAGUUAGGGUCAGGAGAGGUAAGCUGAAAUGUGAGGGAGCUUUUAAGAUGCUUUCUGUGAUGUGUGAGAGACAUGGCAGAAGGGGCUGUGAGGCUCAGGAAGGGUUUUAUCUUGUUUAAAGAUAGAAGACAAAAGAGAAUGUUCAUAUGCUGAUGAAAGAUCCAGUAGUAAGAGAAUGGUGGUGCCGACGACGUGGGAAAUGAAGGUAUGACAAAGUAAUUUUGGAGAGUAAGAGAACAAGAUUAUUUGUGAAGUAUGGCAAGAUCUUUGCAUAGUACCUAUUUGACAUUUGGGACAACAAACCAAAAAGGAAAUUAGCAGCAGUUGUAGGUUUUUCUCCAGCCCCAUUCAGCUGUUAGGUGCCAGCACAGGGUCGGGGGCGGGGGUGGGGGUGGGGGUAGGGGGGGCUGUGUUUAAACCAAUUUGAGACUCCCAGGUGAUUAUAACAGAGGGAGGGUAGCUGAAGGAGUCCAUUUAAUUACAAAGCAGCAAUUGCUAAUGACUGGCUUUGAUAAAUUCAAUUCCCAGCGCAAUAUGAGUGUUUUUAUUAAAUGUUUGAUGCAUGACACAAGUCUGGAAUGGAGUUUUAUCACCUCCUAGAACAGCAAGUUACACACCGUCAGCUUAAGUCAAAAUUUCCUUCACAGAAGAUAAAUACUAAACUUUAGGUCAUUUCCUUAUAACUUUUGUUAACGUGCUAACAAUAGUACCUGGCAUUGAGUAAUUGCUCAAUAUAAUUUAGUUGCAGUACUGCUUCCUAAGCACAAUUUUUUUUUUCUUUUCCUCCUUCUGUUAUUCAACAACCAUUUCUUCAACACUUACUGUGCCAGGCACUGCACUUUACACUAGAGAUAAGACAAGGCUAACAGGUUUUAUGGUAUAUUAGGGAACACAGAUAGUAUACAAAUAACUACACUUAGUGAGCAUUUAAGUUCAGUCGUGAGAAACACUGUAAGGAUUGACCAAUGUUACACCAACAUAAAAUGCAGAUGUUGGAAUGAUUAUGUUUUUAAAUUUUUAAACCUUCAUAAAAAUGUUUAAAGAACCUGUGGUUUCGAAGUUUACCAUUCUGAUUUAUUCUUUUUGUGUAUGAGAAAUACUAACUCAGAGUAAAAAUCUAAAACAUAAGAAAAAUCUUCUCACAUAGAAAAGGAGUAAGAAGGUGCAGGCCGAUAGGGUAGGUUGAAAACAGACCAAACUGUCCAUAAACUUGGACUGAAAUAUAUUUGAUCCUGUAAUGUUGGGCUCAAUAUUACAAUUCCUCAGGAAGUUGUCUUUUAUUUUUAUUUUUUUGUCUUUUUAGGUCCCCAUCUGCAGCAUAUGGAGGUUCCCAGGCUAGGGGUCGAAUCGGAGCUGUAGCUGCCGGCCUACGCCACAGCCACAGCAAGGCCAGAUCUGAUGCUCGUCUGCAACCUACAGGGCAGCUCACAGCAAUGCUGGAUCCUUAACCCACUGAGCAAGGCCAGGGAAUCGAACCCGGAACGUCAUGGUUCCUAGUUGGAUCCAUUUCCACUGUGCCCCGACAGGAACUCCUCAGGAAGUAUUUUUUAGGUGUUAAGUUUAUGACAAGCAUUACGAUGAGAGGAGAAAAGCAGCCCCUGGCAUCUGGGAAGUGGCUUGUGACUAUCAGUGAGGUCUUGCUGUUCUCUUGCAGAACAUAAAUUUAAUUUCACAGAACAUCAGUAUUAGGCAAGGUCACUCUAUGACCCUGAUGAAAUAAGACAGACAAGAUCUCUUCAUAAUUUUGUCUAAGUACAGAUAAAAACCAUGUUACAACGCAAAGCACAAAAUACCAAAUGUCCCCUGCCCACCUAGGUGACUGCUGCUUCUUUACCAAUUACAGCUUUAACUCCCCUUCAUUUUUUCCACCUUCUGAACAAGCUCUAUUAAGAUACCCAGUCAUAAAAUUACCCCCCUGCCUGAGAGAAUGCAAUCCAGAGCAAACUCUUCUUUCCUUGAACUUCUAAGUCACUUAACACAAGCCCCAAUGCAAUAAGGCCUUUUGAGCACCCUUUUGCAGAACACUUCCACUGAUAAACCCUACCGUGUGUGCUCUAGUUUCAACAAAAAAUAAACCCACUUUUGUUCAACUCCCUUGUGUUCCUAGUAGUCUUACAUUCGGUGGCAUUGUUAAUAGAAUACAUGCAUUACAUUAUUUAAUACUCACAGCUAUUUCUUGAAACAAGUGCUACUAUAAAUCUACUUUACAAAUCAGAAAACAGAGGAACAGAACUGUUGAGUAACACUUCCAAGGUCACACAGCCAGAAAGUGGCAGUCAGAAGAGUUCAGGUUUGACUCAAGAGAUUCCUUGAUACUGUUCCAGAUAACAGCCAGAAUUGUUAGGAUAGUCUUUCAGUUAAACAAAGGCCAAAACUGUUUUUCUAUACCACUAUACUUCCCAUCUUACCUAUUAUUUGGUCUUACUGCUAAAAUAGUAAAUUCUUCAGUGAGAGAUCCGAGCAAGUCCACAGACCUUCUAAAAAGCUUCAAUAUUUUCAGGUUAGAGUUAAAAUUACAGCAUGAUACACAUGUUCCUUCUCCCUUUUCUGGCCUUAUCUCUUAAUGUUUCCCCAUAAUCCAUUAAUUUGAGAUAACUACUAUGUACCAAAUAAUCUUUCCCUAUUUUCCAGUCAUGCAAAAAACAUUUUUAAAUGUGACAUAUUUAUAUCACUCUCUGUGCCUCUGCAUCUACCCAUUUUCAAACCGAUCCUUCAAAAGUCACCUUGACUGUCUCCUCUGAGAACUUCACUGACCAUCUCUCCAAAUACAAAAUUUAUUGCUCAUUUGUGCUCCCACUACACAAUCCAAUUCCCUUGAUUACUGGGAAUUAUCAUACCACAUUAUUCCUCCAGCCUCAAUUCUUCAGAUGUAAUGUUAAUUCCCCUGCUAUCCCUUGCACUUGGCACAAUGCCUGGGAAUGAACUAAGCUUAACACAUAUUCUUUAAAUGAUUCCCUCACCAAACCAAUUCAGAGUACGGCUCUAAUUUAUUUAUUUAUUUAUUUAUUUAUUGCUUUUUAGGGCUGAACCUGUGGCACAUGGAAGUUCCCAGGUUAGGGGUCUAAUGGGAGCUACAGCUGCUGGCCUAAGUCACAGCCACAGCCACACGGAAUCCGAGCCAUGUCUGCAACCUACACCACAGCUCAAGGCAACGCAGGAUCCCUGACCCACUGAGUGAAGCCAGGGAUCAAACCCACAUCCUCAUGGAUACUAGUCAGAUUCCACUGUGCCACGACAGGAACCAGUGAGAGAAUGGCUGUAUUAAGGAGAUAAAGUCAAAAUGUCUCCAAUUUCAUUAGUAACAUUAUUUUUAGCUCUGUUACCUAGUACUCAAGAAAACUACAUUAAUGAUUGAGUAAUCUGUGCAUUAGCCAUAGUGGCAAACAACUGGUAUUCAGACUAUUUUCCUAAAGAUCUACUGUGGAUUGGAAAAUAACUUAUUAACUGGAUUAUUUUUAACAGGUCUUUACAUUACAGCAGUGUCACCUCUUGGAACUAAACAUAUAUUUUAAAGAAAGUUUUCAUCUUCUAUUCCAGAACACUAUUUACAUGAUUUGGGGACACAGUGCAGUAAUAAAUCUCUUUGAUAACUAAUAGGAAAAUAAAAAAUAAUAAAACUCGCAAUAGAAUUACUCUGUGGAAGCAAACUGAAGAGAAUACAAACUAGCUACUACUCUUCAGUACUUUCUGAAUAUUUGAAUUGAUGCAAAAAUUAUUAAAAGUAUUAUUUAAAAUACUUUUUAUAAAGUAUUGACAUAGUGUUCUCUUCAAUUUCAGCUGAAGUUCCAAUUAUUGCAAGUAACAAAAAUGAAGUCAUACAGCUAGUGUGAAAAUAAUUAAGAGGCAACUUAAUUAUCUACUUAAAUGUAAUGGAUGGUCCUAUGAAGAAAAGUGCAUUGACAGAGCAGAUUUUAAAAGUUGAGCUGGAUUCCUUUGUGUUUCAAGAAAAAGAUUACCCAAUCAUCUAUUUUUUAAUUGUUAAGAAUAAAAUUGAGGUCAAAACAUAUGAUUAAAGUGGCACUAAAGUAACAAUAGUAUUUAAAAAUUUGUUUCUCCCUUUUGUUUCUGAGCAUAGUUAUCUUUGGAAGGUAAUUUUGUGAAUAAAUAGAUCUGCUGUAAUAGUAAAUUCUAUCCUGUUUGAAAUAGAUUUGACAUUCUCUAUUUCUAUAGGAUUUGUUUUAAAAACUUAAUUACAUCUAGAGGUUUUACAAAGUGCAAAGCCUUAAACCCUCUCUUGUUGAAGAAAGCAAAAUAAUCUUUUUAUUGAAACAAACAUAAAACUCAAGGGAGUUCCUGUUGUGGUGCAUGGAAACGAAUCGACUAGUAUCCAUGAGAUCUGGGUUUGAUCCCUGGCCUCGAUCAGUGGUGAUCAAACCUGCAUCCUCAUGUAUACUAGUUAGGCUGGUUACCACGGGGCCACAAUGGAACCUUCUAAACAUUAUUUCAAGGCAGGACUAGCCUUGACUUCCUAUCUCUGGCCAAUAUUUUGAAUUACUUAAAAAUAAAAAUCAUUUUUUUCCUUUUGUUUUUAAGCUAUUUAAAAAUAUUACCCCCAAGCAUACUUUAUAUCAAUUUUAACAUACUAUUUAAGAAUCUAGGUUUCAACAUUGCCAGCUCCUGCACUUUUAUCUUCCUACUUAAAAACAUUCUCCAGUUGAUUUUGAAUUAUUUAAUGAAUUUCAUUUGUGAUCAUGAUACAAAUUCAUUCCAAGAAUGCAAUUUUGAUGAGUAAAUCAGGGUAGUUCAAGGGGAAAAAAAAGGAGAUAUUCAAGAAAUUGUUCAUGUUUACCCUUUCAUGUUUGAAAAUGUGGCCAUGAGAAACCAUAGCACAUCUGAAGCACAAGGACUCCACACUGCUAGAGGACAAUGUCAAGACAGACAACUGUGAGAGUUCAGUAAUCCUGCAAUAUCAGUAUUCUUUACUAAGGGUUGAUUCCUCAAGAAGAGAAGUCCAAAACCAUGUUAAGUUUCUGAGAGCGCUCCAGAUGUUCAGUACAAGAAAAAGCACAUCAUACAAGUCUUUUUUUUUUCUUUCUCUUUUUGCCAUUUCUUGGGCCACUCCCGAGGCAUAUGGAGGUUCCCAGGCUAGGGGUCUAAUCGGAGCUGUAGAGGUCAUCCUACGCCAGAGCCACAGCAACGCGGGAUCCGAGCCACGUCUGCAACUUACACCACAGCUCACGGCAACACCGGAUCCUUAACCCACUGAGCAAGGCCAGGGAUCGAACCCACAACCUCAUAGUUCCUGGUCGGAUUCAUUAACCACUGAGCCACGACGGGAACUCCAAGUCUUAAACAUUCUGUGAUUUUCAAAGUAUACUUUAUAGUUUUCCUUGAUCAAAAAUGUAUCUAAAGCUGGUAAAUUUCAAAUUGCACAAGAACAGGGUCUUAAAUGAGAUAUUCUGGUCAAAAGGCUUUCUUUUGGUCAUUAAAAAAUUUUUAGACACUAUUAAUUUCCUGCAGUUGAAAAUCAACACACUUUAAAUUCAAGAUAUACUACUCUACUCUCAGAAAGUAUCUUCUUCAAUCAUGGCCUAAAGCCAUAAUGUCAUUAUCACUGAUGCCAAUAACUAAAAAUAGGGUCUUUCCCGUCAUUUUUUUCAAGCACCUGCUCGUCAAUUACCAUCAACUGGCAGCCGGCUGGACAGCCAGCUCCCUUGAGCACAGAGUUCUUAGUUUCAACGUUUCAAUUCAUUACAGUCAGCCACCAUCUCCUCCAAAACCCUUUCAGAUUGUUUGUAAUUUCACAGAAUUUCCCAAAGUAGAACAUAUUUGAAAGAAUGGCAAAGAAU
rnacentral:lncRNA from 1 species